CAGUAGCCGCGGGAAAACAGAGGGUGCGAGCGUUAAUCGGAUUUACUGGGCGUAAAGCGUGCGUAGGCGGCUUCUUAAGUCGGAUGUGAAAUCCCUGAGCUUAACUUAGGAAUUGCAUUCGAUACUGGGAAGCUAGAGUAUGGGAGAGGAUGGUAGAAUUCCAGGUGUAGCGGUGAAAUGCGUAGAGAUCUGGAGGAAUACCGAUGGCGAAGGCAGCCAUCUGGCCUAAUACUGACGCUGAGGUACGAAAGCAUGGGGAGCAAACAGGAUUAGAUACCCGUGUAGUCCCUGUCUCUUAUAC
rnacentral:rRNA from 1 species